UUGUCCCUGCAGUGCUCGUGACUUGGCCAUACAUUCUCUGAACCUAUGUCUUACGGCAUAUCGGUUGCGUGAAUGGUGAGCGGGCGUGAUGGUCUUGCAGUUUCGAGACUGACCCGAAGCUCAACGGAUCGCGACCACCUUGAACCUCAGGGUUCGAGAUGCCGGCCUAGACGGCACACGCGGGGCAUCU
rnacentral:other from 2 species